GACGAACGCUGGCGGCGUGCUUAACACAUGCAAGUCGAACGGAGUGGCGAACGGGUGAGUAUUACGUGAGUAACUGCCCCCCUCUCUGGGAUAACAGUUGGAAACGGCUGCUAAUACCGGAUAGUGGGGGAUGACUCGCGUCCUAUCAGCUUGUUGGUGGGGUAGUGGCCUACCAAGGCGCCGACGGGUAGCCGGCCUGAGAGGGCGACCGGCCACAUUGGGCUGAGAUACGGCCCAAACUCCUACGGGAGGCAGCAGUGGGGAAUAUUGCACAAUGGGGGAAACCCUGAUGCAGCAACGCGCGUGCGGGAUGACGGCCUUCGGGUUGGAAACCGCUUUCAGCCAUGACGCGGUAGUGGCAGAAGAAGCCACGGCUAACUACGUGCCAGCAGCCGCGGUAAUUC
rnacentral:rRNA from 1 species